GCAAGGAUUUGUUGGGCUCAUAGUUUUGGGAGUCAUGGCCCCCAGUUGCUGGCUCUGUGGUUCCUAGACUGUGGUGAGAAAGAGCAUCGAGAUGCGGCACAUCUGAAGCAGAGCUGCCUGCCUCACAGCAGCCAGGAAGCAAAACGGAGAAGCCUGGAACAGACAGCCUCCUCCUGCCUUCUGUUCCGUCUUGACAGUCAGGAUUAACUGUCACAAAUACCUAUUACUUUAAUACUUUAUCUCUGUUGACGAUAACAUGAGAAAUGCCACUGUGGACUGCAGUCCCAUCUUU
rnacentral:lncRNA from 1 species